CUACGGGUCGCUCCAGUCGAGAAUCUUCGGCAAUGGGCGAAAGCCUGACCGAGCGAUGCCGCGUGCGGGAUGAAGGCCCUCGGGUUGUAAACCGCUGUCAACGAGGAGGAAGUGCAAGGGGGUUCUCCCUCUUGUUUGACCUAUUCGAGGAGGAAGUACGGGCUAAGUUCGUGCCAGCAGCCGCGGUAAGACGAACCGUACAAACGUUAUUGGGAAUUAUUGGGCUUAAAGGGUGCGUAGGCUGCGCGGACAGGUGGGUGUGAAAGCCCUCGGCUCAACCGAGGAAUUGCGCCCAAUACUACCGGGCUCGAGGGAGACAGAGGUGAGCGGAACUCAAGGUGGAGCGGUGAAAUGCGUUGAUAUCUUGAGGAACACCGGUGGCGAAAGCGGCUCACUGGGUCUCUUCUGACGCUGAGGCACGAAAGCCAAGGUAGCAAACGGGAUUAGAUACCCUGGUAGUC
rnacentral:rRNA from 1 species